AGCUUUGCGCAGUGGCAGUAUCGUAGCCAAUGAGGUUGAUCCGAGGCGCGAUUAUUGCUAAAACAUUUAAUCUUCCCAUUAGGCACAUAGUAUAUCUUCCCAGUUUUCCAAAUCCUCUUUUAUGCAUCAGUAAAAUUUUAUAAUUUUCUUAAUAU
ensembl:snRNA U4 U4 spliceosomal RNA